AACCCUGGUAACAGUGCAGUGAUUGGAACGCUAUGCUCAACCUCUCUCCACACGCGGCUACUCCUCACACUGGUUAUCAAAAUCUUCAGGGGCUCAAGGAAGUGAUCUUCCUGCACACAGUCCUGUUUCCGGUAAUCGUCGCGAGUACAACACAACCUGCCCCGGUGACGACCUUCGAGUAUGAGAAUACCUGCUUCACUUGGAUGCUUUGUUCGCCAGUGGGUACUACAGUUGCGAGGUGAAAGCAGAAAAUGCUGGAAACAGUUAGCAGGACAAGCUGGCACACAACUGGAAGCGGCAGGAAUUAAUUGGAGUGGAACUGGUGCACCUGCAUUUCUUAAGUCCAUGGAGGAGACAGUGCUGGAUGUUAUUGAGAUGACCAUUGCUGAAGCCAUGGGCAAAGAUGAAAGUAACCACAUACCUAAUCCUCCCUUUCACAAACUACAUCUCACCCUCAUCCCACACUCUCUUCUGAGUUACAAGCUACAGAUGGUUUGCUCAGCACUGCAUAAUAGUUGGAAGCGGGAUGCUCACAAGUCACAGAUGAAUAGCAGAUUGACAAAGAAGCAGUAGGAGAAAUAAUGAGGGGGACAGACAGGAAUGAGUGCAGAGAUGAGAAACACCAUGGAAUAUAGGUGGCUUAGUCAGCAAGAACCCAAGAUACUCAAAAAGAAAAUAAUAAACACCUUCAGAACAGAUAAUUUUGAAAAACAGCAGAACCCCUGUUCCUAUGAAGAACUGAUGGUGUAUCAAUAAAGAGUGGUGGUGCCUUAUCUUAGGCAGCACAGAAUUUUACUAUGUACCUGAAGAACAGAGCAAGAACUUUUUUUUUUGCAAAAAUAUACUUUAUUCAUAAAUCUUC